AGCGAACGCUGGCGGCAGGCUUAACACAUGCAAGUCGAGCGGGCAUAGCAAUAUGUCAGCGGCAGACGGGUGAGUAACGUGUGGGAACGUACCUUUUGAUUCGGAACAACACAGGGAAACUUGUGCUAAUACCGGAUAAGCCCUUACGGGGAAAGAUUUAUCGCCGAAAGAUCGGCCCGCGUCUGAUUAGCUAGUUGGUGAGGUAAUGGCUCACCAAGGCGACGAUCAGUAGCUGGUCUGAGAGGAUGAUCAGCCACAUUGGGACUGAGACACGGCCCAAACUCCUACGGGAGGCAGCAGUGGGGAAUAUUGGACAAUGGGCGCAAGCCUGAUCCAGCCAUGCCGCGUGAGAGAUGAAGGCCCUAGGGUUGUAAAGCUCUUUUGUGCGGGAAGAUAAUGACGGUACCGCAAGAAUAAGCCCCGGCUAACUUCGUGCCAGCCGCCGCCUAA
rnacentral:rRNA from 1 species